rnacentral:rRNA from 1 species
AAAGAGCGCGUAGGCGGGUUCUUAAGUGAGGGGUGAAAGUCCGAGGCUCAACCUCGGAACUGCCUUUCAUACUGGGAACCUUGAGUGUGGGAGAGGCGAGUGGAAUGGUCGGUGUAGCGGUGAAAUGCGUAGAUAUCGAUCGGAACACCCAUGGCGAAGGCAGCUCGCUGGCCUAUAACUGACGCUGAGGCGCGAAAGCGUGGGGAGCAAACAGGAUUAGAUACCCCUGU